GCCACAGGAGUCGCUGGUGUGCGAUGAGGGCGCGAACCCAGAGUCUCUGGUGCCACAGCUGGCGCUGCAGUACAGCGCCCUUAGCCACUGCGCCACCCAAGCCAACAUUUUAAGUAAACAAUAAGCAACAAACGUUCCAUACAGCCUCUUAAACAGUAUGUUUUGAAAAACCUUUCAGAUUGAUAUGAAAUAUAGUGUAAUGCCUGAUGACACACUGUCUCCAGAGGCAGGCCCAGAAGACAGAAAAUCAGAUUCAGGAGGACUUUGAGAAACGUCACCAGUUUCUACGAUAUGAAGAGGCAGCCAGGAUGGCUGUCCUGAGGGAGGAAGAGGAGGAUGAAGAUGAUUGACGAUGAACAGCGAGAGAGCAGCCAUUUUAGACACAACGAGAGCCAUAAAGAAGGACCUGGUAUCUGAUGACAUCUCAUUCCUGCAGAACUACAAGGACACGUUAAAGGUAAGGCUACGGCCUAUUUGUCCGCAACACUUCAGGUGAAGGGUGAAGAAUCUGGACCCUAAGUGAUCGGCCUCUUCUCUCUCUCUUCCCUGUGGUUCUGAACCCAACCCCACCAUAUCACUAACUCAUGGAUAUUCUUCUAGAGCCCAGUGCACAAGCCCAGAUCCAGAGCUUGUUUCUGGAGCGCUGAUCAAUGUGGCAAAGCACCUGGGAAACCUGCAGGUCAGAGUGUUGGAGAAGAUGCUGAAGUCUGUUCAAUACAUGCCUGUGAUUCUGGACACCAACACUGUCCAUCCAUGUCUCAUCCUGUCUGACGAUCUGACCAGUAUGAGAUUCAGUGAUGGGAUACGGCUGCUUCCUGACAACGCAGAGAGGUUUGAUAACUAUCGAAUGGUCCUGGGCUCUGAGGGCUUUGAUUCUGGGACAUACAGUUGGGAUACAGACGUCAGGGACAAUACAGUAUGGUUUGUAGGUGUAGUCUAUAAGUCUGUCCAGAGGAAGGGAGUGGUACAGACUGGACUCUGGCGUGUAGGCUAUUAUAAUGAUAAAUACUGGGCACAUUGUCCAAAAGGGCCACAGACUGUCCUGACACUGGAAAAUAAAUCCCAUCGGAUCAGAGUGCAGCUGGACUGGAACAGAGAUACACUGUCCUUUUACAACCUUGAUAAUCAUACACACGUUCACACACACUUUUACAGAGAGAUUGUUUCCAUACAUCAACAUUGGCAGUAAUCUCUACGCUGCUAGGAUCUUACCAGGGAAAGCCUCUGUAACAGUGGAACAGCACAUUAUACCUCCCCAUGCUAGCCCUUCCUUUUAACUUGAUCAGUUGAUGUGGUUCGCUGACGCAACGGAAGCCACCACUACCUCCUUGUUUUAGAUUUGUUCGACAGGAUUCAAUUAUGAAUUGUAUUAUCAUAUGAAUUAUGUUAACAAACUACUGGAUUGAACCAAAUCACACAUUUUUGCUGAUCUAAUAAAAACAAUUGAUUCAACAAUUCAACUGUCAA